rnacentral:rRNA from 1 species
AAUGGGGGAAACCCUGAUGCAGCCAUGCCGCGUGUGUGAAGAAGGCCUUCGGGUUGUAAAGCACUUUCAGUCAGGAGGAAGGGUGUUGAGUUAAUACCUCAAUACAUUGACGUUACUGACAGAAGAAGCACCGGCUAACUCCGUGCCAGCAGCCGCGGUAAUACGGAGGGUGCGAGCGUUAAUCGGAAUUACUGGGCGUAAAGCGUGCGCAGGCGGUUUGUUAAGCGAGAUGUGAAAGCCCCGGGCUCAACCUGGGAUGGUCAUUUCGAACUGGCAAGCUAGAGUCUCGUAGAGGGGGGUAGAAUUCCAGGUGUAGCGGUGAAAUGCGUAGAGAUCUGGAGGAAUACCGGUGGCGAAGGCGGCCCCCUGGACGAAGACUGACGCUCAGGCACGAAAGCGUGGGGAGCAAA